rnacentral:rRNA from 1 species
AUGGCUCAGGAUGAACGCUGGCGGCGUGCCUAAUACAUGCAAGUCGUACGAGGGAAGUCCAGCUUGCUGGACGGAACGAGUGGCGAACGGGUGAGUAAUACGUAAGCAACCUGCCUGCAAGGACUGGGAUAACACCUGGAAACGGGCGCUAAUACCGGAUAGGUAACAAAGGGGCAUCCCUAUGUUAUUAAAGGUUAGAAACACAAGCAGAUGGGCUUACGGUGCAUUAGCUAGUUGGUGAGGUAACGGCCCACCAAGGCGAUGAUGCAUAGCCGGCCUGAGAGGGUGAACGGCCACAUUGGGACUGUGACACGGCCCAGACUCCUACGGGAGGCAGCAGUAGGGAAUUUUCGGCAAUGGACGAAAGUCUGACCGAGCAACGCCCGCGUGAGUGAAGAAGGUUUUCGGAUUGUAAAGCUCUGUUGUAAGGGAAGAACAGCACGGAAAGAAUCCGUGAAUGACGGUACCUUACCAGAAAGCCACGGCUAACUACGUGCCAGCCGCCGC